rnacentral:lncRNA from 1 species
GUUGCGUUGACAGCGGGUGUGUGUGUGUGCGCACCGCGCGCGGCCGCAGCUUCACCGACGGCUCGAUACCGGUACCGAGGAGCGCGUGGAACCGAACAGGUGGCGAGGAUCUGAUGGGAGGCGGAGUCUGACAAACGCUAUCGUGACGUCGUUACCUCGGUGUAGGCGGAGCUUCAGGAGGAUGAAGAUUGGCUCUGCGCUCUUCCGCCACACCUCACUCUGGUUUGUGAAAUCAAAUCAAACUUCAUACGUACAGAUAUAAUUUUAGACACACACACACACACACGCACACACACACACACACACACACACACACACACACACACAUACGUAGUGUGUUAUUCACAUUUUUAAAUCAAAGUUAAAGGCACUUUUUUUCUCUACUGCAUAUGAUUGAGAGAGAGACUUUUUGUCAUGUUGUUGAUGUAAUGAUGAUUUUAAUUGAUUUUACUGAUUUUACUGAUGAUUUUAAAUGUUCUUAUUGAUUUUAAACAAUUGAAUGUUUUAUCAUGUAAAGCACAUUGAGUUGCCUUGUGUAUGAAAUGCGCUAUAUAAAUAAAUUUGCCUUGCCUUGUGUUUCCUACAGGUGUUUACUGAUGGCACUCUCAGCACCCCUUGGAAUUCUCGGGGCCAAUCAGGAGGAGCCGUGUGGAGGGAGGGACUGUUCAAGGUGUCAGUGUUUACCUGCUAAAGGAGCAAGAGUGAGCACACGCACACACACACAC